UCGCGGCUUAUCACCGGCAGUCCCCUUAGAGUGCCCAACUGAAUGAUGGCAACUAAGGGCGAGGGUUGCGCUCGUUGCGGGACUUAACCCAACAUCUCACGACACGAGCUGACGACAGCCAUGCAGCACCUGUGCUGGCUGCCCUUGCGGGCUCAUCCCCGUUUCCGGUUCUUACUACCAGCAUGUCAAACCUGGGUAAGGUUCUUCGCGUUGCGUCGAAUUGAACCACAUGCACCACCGCUUGUGCGGGCCCCCGUCAAUUCCUUUGAGCUUCAACCUUGCGGCCGUACUCCCCAGGCGGGGAACUUACUCCGUUAGCUGCGGCACCCAGGGGGUCAAUACCCCGGACACCUAGUGCCCAUCGUUUACAGCGUGGACUAC
rnacentral:misc_RNA from 1 species